GCUGGGAUUUGAUCAGGCUAUAGAUGAAAAGAGCUUUUGUGAUUGAUGCUGGGUUGCUUAUUCCUUGCUUUUUCCCCCUUGGUGCGUUAGUGCCGUUUGUCUAUUGAUAGCCGUGUUUCUCUCAUGCAACAUUUAUUAAUUUGUUUUCAUUAAAUAAACAUGCAUCAACUGUUCCUCUAGAUCAGAAGAGCGAGACUUUGCUGAUCAGACAGGGCUACAGCACAAAAUGUCUGCCCCAGGAAACCUCCCUUGUCCACUUGAGAGAGUUCAGGUUUAAGGGUGAACCUCUGUGUGUGUUGGUGUGGGUGUGUGAGAAAUGUUUUACAUGAUGCUGAGGGCCUGGGAAGAAAAGUGACCGGGUGUGUGUGUGUGUGUGUGUGUCACAAGCUGCACGGUCUGUGCCCAGCUUCUGGUCCCUGAGCCACGCGCUCGGAGGCCAUCUUCUUGAGCAGAACUGACUGCUUCUUUGGCAUUCUUCUUUGCUGGUUAUUCCACUGUGCAGCAUUGAUGUCGCAUGGAAGAAGGACCUUUCAUAGCUCCAGAGAGGACCUGAAUGAGUUUACCCUGUUGUCUCCAGUCCUGAGAAGUAGUGGAUUUUCUCUGUUGCCCCAGGAAGUGCUGCAACCUGCAAAGAGGAUUUUGCUUGUCUUGGCUAAGUUAGAAAAGGUGUUGCUGCCGUUCCCCGGAAACACUGAAGAAUGCAAAAAUGUACACAGAGGUUCCCUGUCCCUGAGUUUCUGUGAGAUUCCAUGGGUUUUGUACACCAAAGACUUUUAAAACACUGAGCCAACAAUCUUGAUAUACUUGAACAAAACACAGCACUUCGUUGCACUGUGGACUCUGCUGGAGAAGGGUUUUAAGAGACUGACACUGGACUUGUGCUAAAUUGGAUAGAGCUUUCAAUGAUUCAGUGUACUGUUCUCUGUCUUUCAUGUAUCUAACCCCAGGAUUUUCUGCACUGUGUGAAAACCUGAAGGCUUUCUUCUUCACCCACCCCACUCCCUGUUUCUUGGUUUGCAUUGUGGUGAUACGUAACUGUGCCAUCUGCAGAUCUGUAUUGUUAAUGCCAAUAAAAUAAAGGUGCUGUGUUACAUGAA